rnacentral:lncRNA from 1 species
GUUAGGACAGGAAGAGAACCCAGAGCUUCCAGUCCCUGGAUCCUAGAGAGCAAUACAGCCUCUUCCCUUUCCUCAUCGUAGCUACCCAGUGAAUAAAUCCCUCGUUCUACCUCAUUCAGAUCAACUUCAGUGCCUGUUGUUUGCAACCCACAGUGUCCCAAUUCAGGACUUGGGAACUGUUUUCCUUUUCAUGGAUUGUGUAGAACUGAAAGGGAUACGUCAUUCUCAGAACUUAUAUUCUUGUUCCGAUGUGCCAGCUGUACUUAAAAAUAAAAGAAUCCCAGACCCAUCUCCAUGUUCACCACCACCCCUCCUGUUAAUUUCCUGCUGAAUUGCAGCUCAACGCAUGUGCUGGGAUUUCAAGUCCUGCCCUAAUCAAUUUACUACCACCUCCCCAACCUUAACCCCAACCUACACGCACCUUCCUACGCUGGCCUGUGCGUGCAGCCUGCCCUGGCCUCUACUGUGACGCCUACCACGUUAUAUUUGUAAUGAUUUGUUUAUGACUGUCCCCAUACUAGGGAAGGCAUCGAGCUUGAGGAAGAGGCCCCAUUCAUCUCCGUACCCCAGGCCCUGGUACACAGCAGGCAGGUAGCAAGUAUGGGAGGGAGGUGGGGGAGGAAGAAGGGGGAAAAAAGGGAGUUCCUUCCUAUUUUCUCUCUAGUCCAACCAAUGUGUCACUCAUAGGCUCAAGUUCUGUAUUCGUUCCCUAUACCUGUCUACCUGUUUUCCUUUUUCCCUUUUUUUUUUUUUAAUGGAGUUUCGCUCUUGUUGUCCAGGCUGGAGUGCAAUGGCGCGUUCUCAGCUCACUGCAACCUCCGCCUCCUGGGUUCAUGCAAUUCUCCUGCCUCAGCCUCCCCAGUAGCUGGGAUUACAGGCGUGCACCACUAUGCCCACCUAAUUUUGUGUGUCUGUGUGUGUGUAUAUAUAUAUAUUUUAGAUAUUAUAUUAUAUAUGUGUUUUUUAUAUAUUAUAUAUAUAUAUAUACUUUUUUUUUUUUUUUUUUACUAGAGAUGGGUUUCACCAUGGUGAUCAGGAUGGUCUCGAACUCCUGACCUCAAGUGAUCCACCCACCUUGGCCUCCCAAAGUGCUGGGAUUACAGGCGUAAGCCACUGUGCCCAGUCCCUAUUUUCCUUUUUCUACCUGUCUGCCCUCAGGUAGACACAAACCUCAUGCCCUCACCACCUUCAAGCCUCUACUCCAGUCUACUCCAGUACCCCUUCCCUGACCCCCGGGUCCCUCUUUUUUGUUUUCUCACUCUCUGUAGCACCUUCUACCACCAUCCACCCUCCUCCGUGUUUUAUUUAUUUUGUUGAUUUCUCCUUCAUUGAAAUGUCAGCUCCAGGCGGGCACGCAUCUUUGUUGUGUUCUCUGCUGACUAUAUCCUCAGCACCUAGAACUGUGUCUGUCACCUAAUAGAUGCUCAGUAAGUAUCUGGAAUGAAUGGAUUAUUUGUGUUUGCCAACAUACACAGGUCUACCAAAGUUGUUUUCUCAUGUACCUGUGCAUUUCAUGCUUCUAAUAGGUAUAAGGGAAGUCUGGUUAUAUCUUUUCUUCCUGGGACUGCUAUAACAAAUUAUCACAGACUACAGGGCUUAACACAGCAGAUUCAUUUCAAAGUUCUGGUGGCCAGAAGUUGUAAAUCUAGCAGGGCUGCCCUCCCUCCAGGCACACUAGGGAAGAUGUGUGUCUUGUCUCUUCCACCUUCUAGUAGCUCUGGCGUUCCUUGGCUUGUGGCCGCAUCACUCCGGUCUCUGCCUCCGUCUUCUUACCUUCCUCUUCUCUCUGUCCUGGUCUCUGCUUCUCUCUUUUAAGGAUACAUGGAUUGCAUUUAGUUCCCAUCUGGAUAAUCCAGAACAAAUGCCUCCUCUCAAGAUCCUUAAUCAGUCUUUUUCCAGUGAUUCAGUUUGAAAGCAGACAUACUUACUAUCUCUCUGGGGGCUGCCAUUUAGCCUACUGCAGGUUAUCUGCAUAAAUAAAUCAGAAAAGCAGAGAUUCUCACCUCCUCCCAACUCUGUUGUCCUAGCAGGCAUGCAAUAAAGAGAGUAUCAUUGCGGUAUUAUUAUUAUUACUACAGCUCAGAGUGUGGAAAUGAUUUUUUAAACACCAUUGUAUGUUCUUUAAUUAUCCCAAAUUUUAAAAAUGAAACUAUGCCUAUAGUAAGAAAAAAUACAAAAGAGAAUAAGGUGGAAAUAAAGGGGCGAUUUGCCUUUUUUAAUUUAUUGUGUUUAGAGACAGAGUCUCAGUCUGUCACCCAGGCUGGAAUGCAGUGGUGUGAUCAUAGCUCACUGCAGCCAUGAACUCCUGGACUCAAGCAAUCCUCCCGCCUCAGCCUCCAGAGUAGCUGGGACUACCGGCUCAUGCCACCAUUUUUAUUUAAUUAUUUUUAUUAUUAUUCAUAGAGACAGGGUCUCACUACGUUGCCCAGGCUAGUCUCGAACUCCUAGCCUCAAGUAAUCCUCCCACCUCAUCCUCUCAAAGUGCUGGGACUAUAGGCUUGAGCCACCACGCCUGCCCUGCAAUUUUUCUUUAACUCCAACCUCACUUCUUUAUAAGACAUAACCACCGUGGGCAGUUUGCACAAUCUUUAUAAAUUUUGAAAGCAUGCACUUUUUUUGGCUCAUAGUGGUAAGAAAGUUGGGGGUAUACAAUAUAUCCCGACAGUUCUUAGACCCACCUCAUUCUUUCUAAUGACUUCUAGCAUCGCAUCAUACUUAACCUGUCUUCUACUGGCCAACUUUGCAGUUAACUCGAGGAUUUUGCCUUUAUAACAUCUAUAAUCUUUGGCAUGUGGCCAAGAAUACUUGUAGGAUAAAUUCCUAGAAGUGGAAUUUCUCAGUCAGAGGAGAUUUUUUUUUUUUUUUUUUUUUUUUUUUUGAGACAGUCUCGCACUGUUGCCCAGGCUGGAAUGCAAUGGCACAAUCUCGACCCACGGCAACCUCCACCUCCUGGGCUCAAGUGAUCCUCCUGCCUCAGCGUCCUAAAUAGCUGGGACUACAGGCCUGCACUACCACACCCAGCUAAUGUUUUUUGUAUUUUUUAGUAGAGACAGGGUCUUACCAUGUUGCUCAGGGUGGUCUUGACCUCCCGAGCUCAAGCCAUCCUUCAGCCUCCCAAAGUGCUAGGAUUACAGAUGUGAGCCCCUGCUCCCAGCCAAGAGGUGUGCAUUGUAAAUUUCUACAGCUAUUGCCCAGGGCCUUCAAAAGGUUAUCAUUCACAUGCACAUCAAGGGUAUACCUGUAGAGGCUGGGCUUGGUGGCUCACGCCUGUAAUCCCAGCACUUUGAGAGGCUGAGGCUGGAGGAUGGCUUGAGCUCAGGAGUUCAAGACCAGCCUGAGCAACAUGGCAAAACCCUGUCUCUAUAAAAAAUACAAAUAUUAGCCAGGCAUAGUGGCGCAUGCCUGUAGUCCCAUCUACUUGGGGGGCUGAUGCAGGAGGAUCGCUUGAGCCCGGGAGGUCGAGGCUACAGUGAGCUGUGAUUGUACCGCUAUACCCCAGCCUGGGUGACAAAGUAAGACCCUGUCCCUCCCCCACCAAAAAAAACAAGCCUACAUUGGUGAGGGUGCUGUUUCUGAUACCCUUUUCUACCCCAGCAAGAAUGCGGUGUGUCAGGAGAAGCAAAUCCCAAAUGAGAUAAACCUGCCAGUAAUUUCAGCAAAUGAAACGUGGAACACGUCAAGGCCAGAGGAUGGAAAAGGCUCCAGUUUUGAUAAAAGGAGGCCUGCUUGGCUUGGAAUCCUCUCUCCUGCUGGUUGGGAGAUGCAAAGAUGUUUCCAGAGAGGGGCUGAUGAAUUGAGGGGAAAGAAAUGAGCCCAGUAUGAGUCCCCUUUCAGGGCUGAGCGUGUAUAAAACCAAACAACUUGGAACCGCUCCAAGAGAGGGGAUUAAAGCAACAUGUUAUUCUGAGUGAUUGCUUAAUUUAUUGAGCUGCGGCUGGAUCUGUAAUGAAAUACAGCCCUUGUAACUGAUAACCUCCUGCUGCCAUUGAACUUCUACAAUUAAGGAAUAUUUUCUGAGUUUCUCUGGAACGGCUCUGAAUUUUUAGCCUCUGUGGUAGGGUGCUUCUGAACAUUUGUUUUCCAGGCAAUUUUUUUUGAGUAUUAGGCUGAUGUUAAUAAAUAAGCAGCAUUUUAUUGAGUGUUUUGUGGGAACCAGGAACUUUAUAUACAUUGUUUCUAAUCCUGACACUAAUCCUGUCAAUAUCCAGUGAAAUAACCCCUAUUAUUCCCUAUUUUACAGAUGUGAAGCCACGAGACGUUAGGUCAUUUUCUAGAGUGGUGCUGUCCAAGACAGUAGCUGUGAUGGCUCCUUGUGGCUAUUGAUGUGUAAAUUAGUUAAAAUUAAAUAAAUUUUAACAUUUACACCCUAGGUUGCACUAACAAUGAGUUCAAGUGCCCAGCAGCCCCGUGUACUGUGGCUGAUGGCUACCACAUUGGACAGUGCAGAUAUAGACCAUUUGAAGGUUGCACAAGUGCUAUUGGUCAGCACUGACUUAGAUUUCCUUUUUUUUUUUUUUUUUGAGAUGGAGUCUCGCUCUAUUGUCCAGGUUGGAGUGCAGUGGUGCAAUCUCGGCUCACUGCAACCUCCGCCUCCUGGGUUCAAGUGAUUCUCCUGCCCCAGCCUCCUGAGUAGCUGGGACUACAGGUGCAUGCCACCACGCCCAGCUAAUUUUUGUAUUUUUAAUAGAGAUGGGGUUUCACUGGCCAGGCUGGUCUCGAACUCCUGACCUCAGGGGAUCCACCUGCCUCAGCCUCUCAAAGUGUUGGGAUUACAGGUGUGAGCCACCACGCCCAGCCAGGUUCAGAUUUCAUAGCUAGAACCUGGCAGUGCCAGAAUUCAAGCCGAAGCUAAUGGGCUUUGAAGGCAGAGUUCAUCUGCCAGCCUUGUUGCUUCUUUUUCUUCCCUCUGCUGAGAAGCAAGGAACAGAGCAGUGACUGUAUCCCCUGGCUACACAUUAGAAUUACCUGCAAUUCUUUUUUUUUUUGAGACGGAGUCUCACUCUGUAACCCAGGCUGGAGUGCAGUGGUGUGAUAUUGGCUCACUGCAACCUCCACCUCCCAGGUUCAAGCAAUUCUCCUGCCUCAGCCUUCCAAGUAGCCGGGAUUAUAGGCACACACCACAACGCCCAGCUAAUUUUUGUAUCUUUAGUAGAGAUGGGGUUUCGCCAUGUUGGCCAGGCUGGUCUCGAACUCCUGACGUCAGGUGAUCCACCCUCCUUGACCUCCCAAAGUGUUGGGAUUACAAGCAUGAGCCACCGCACCCGGCCUACCUACAAUUCUUUUUUUUUGAGAUGGAGUCUCGCUGUCUCCCAGGCUGGAGUGCAGUGGCGCGAUCUCAGCUCACUGCAAGCUCUACAUCCCGGGUUCAUGUCAUUCUCCUGCUUCAGCCUCCCGAGUAGCUGGGACUACAGGCGCCUGCCACCACGCCCAGCUAAUUUUUUGUAUUUUUAGUAGAGACGGGGUUUCACCAUGUUAGCCAGGAUGGUCUCAAUCUCCUGACCUCCUGAUCCUACCACCUCGGCUUCCCAAAGUGCUGGAAGCUGUGAGCUUUUUCCCAAAGUGCUAGAAGCUCUGAGCCGCCACGCCUGGCCCCUGCAAUUCUUUAAAAAAAAUGAUGGUAGGGUCCCAGGCCCAGAUAAUCUGACUUCACUGUGAUUAAGCCGGGUGGGGACAGGCAUCAGAGGUUUUUCUACUUCCCCAUGUGAUGCCACUGUGCAGCCAGCACGUAGAGCAGCUAGGCGUGAGGACCCACACAGAGGAUGCUGGAAGCAGCUGGUUCAUCUGCCAGGAGAAUGCAGUAUCUUGUGACCAAGAAGUGGGCUUCUCCCAGGGCCACUUCUAAACCACCUCAUCAGAGAGCUCAGGUUCAUAUCCGAGGGAAGAAACUGAAGUGCUUUCUCACACGCUUCCAGCUUGAUGAGAAUCACAGUAGGGAGCUUUGCUUUUCCAAACAGGCUUUGUCACAUGAUCAUGGAAGAAAGGAGAUGCCCACGUAAGAUCACAGAGACAAGGUGAAAAACCCGUAGCCCCGAAUUGGAAUUGGAAGCAUCAGUAUGAAUUCAUGCUAUAUUUUUGUCUUACAAAGUAAAGCAGGUGUUUGCUAGCUCUGUCAACCAUAAAGUUUAGAAAUAAUGAGCCAUCCAAUAGCAGUGAACACCCCAGCACCCAGGUUAUGGUGUCUAAACGCCACUUCCGACUAGAAAUGAGGGCAUGAAGAAAUAACCAAUUCCAGGUCUGAGGCAAGAAAAAAAAUUCAAGAUGAGCCUGGAACAUCUGGUCAUUCCUUGCUUCCUUGAUAGCAAGGAAGGUGAGGGUCACAUUGAAAAGGAUGCAGGAGACAACAUGGAGUGGCUCCCAAUGGGGAGAGUUUGAGCAUCAUUAACAAUAAUGGGCCGAGCGCGGUGGCUCACGCCUGUAAUCCCAGCACUUUGGGAGGCCGAGGUGGGUGGAUCACAAGGUCAGGAGAUGGAGACCAUCCUGGCUAACACAGUGAAACCCCGUCUCUACUAAAAAUACAAAAAAUUAGCCGGGUGUGGUGGUGGGGUACCUGUAGUCCCAGCUACUCGGGAGGCCGAGGCAGGAGAAUGGCGUGAACCCAGGAGGCGGAGCUUGCAGUAAGCCGAGAUCAGGCCACUGCAUUCCAGCCUGGGCAACAGAUCGAGACUCUGUCUCAGAAAAAUAAAUAAUAAUAAUAAUAAUAAUAAUAAUAAUAAUAAUGACUAUAGGCCAGGUGCGGUGGCUCACACCUGUAAUCCCAGCACUUUGGGAGGCCAAGGUGGGCAGAUCACUUGAGGUCAGGAGUUAGAGACCAGCCUGGCCAACAUGGUGAAACCCCAUCUCUACCAAAAAUAUAAAAAAUUAGCCGGGUGUGGUGGCAUACACAUGUAAUCCCAGCUACUUGGGAGGCUGAGGCAGAAGAAUCGCUUGAACCCAGGAGGCGGAAGUUGCAGUGAGCCAAGAUUGUGCCACUACACUCCAGCCUAGGUGACAGAGCAAGACGCCCAUCUCAAAAAAAAAAAAAAAAAAGAAUGACUUUAAUGGAUUGAAACAUGUCAUAUAUGUCCAAAUCUAUGAGUUGACAAUACUUAAAAAAAAAAAAAAAAAGAAAAAUUCAUUUAUCACCAUGGGAGGAUAUUGGAAAACCCAACUCAUUUUGAAAACUGUCAAAGAAAGGGAAAGAAGCAUUUAUCCUUUUUGGUACAAACCAUACUUUUUGGUAGCCAAAUAGUUGAUAAAUUGAUACCUUUUAUAGACAUAUGUCCACUACCAAAGACAGAAUCAUAGAAUUAGUAUGCCACCAUGUUGUAAUAUCUAAUGAAAUAAUGGGCCAGGUGUAGUGGCUCAUCCCUGUAAUCCCAACACUUUCGGAGGCCGAGAUGGGAAGAUUGUUUGAGGCCAGAAGUUCAAGACCACCCUGGGCAACACAGACCUGUCUAUGCAACAAGAUCCUGUCUCUACAAAAAAAAAAGAAAAAAAAAAAAUUAGCCAGGUUUGGGCAUGUGCCUGUAGUCCCAGCUGUUUGGAAGGCUCAGGUGGGAGGAUCCCUUGAGCCCAGGAGGUCAAGGCUGCAGUCAGCUAUGAUUGCACCACUGCACUCUAACCUAUGUGACAGAGCAAGACCCCUCAAAAAAAAAAAAAAAAAAGAAGAAGAAAUUGUGGAUCUAGACAAUGAUCAUCAACAACAGCUGCUAACAUUGCAAAGAGGAACAACCAGAUAGUGUGUGCCUUUGAAUGGAAGUACAAAACCACCAAUAGGAAGUACUCAUACAAAAAAAAAAAAAUCAAACAUCAAUCUAAGUUAUCUCCUAGGCCUAACUACCAAUUUCUAAGAAAUAUAGCGGGAAGAGGAGCACAUGACACUUCUAUGGAGAUGCUAUAACCAAAAUUCAGACCACAGGAAACUACAGAACAAACAAGCCAGUUUCUUCAACAAAUAAAUUGCAAAGGAAGAAAAAGACAAGGGAAGAGAACCUACAGGUUAGGAGAGAUACAAAAGCAAUCCCAACCGAUGGCAACAUUCGAACUUUAUUUGGAUCCUGAUUUUAACUAGCUAAAGAAACCCUUUAGCUGGGCGCGGUGGCUCACACCUGUAAUCCCAGCACUUUGGGAGGCCAAGCCGGGUGGAUCACAAGGUCAGGAGUUCAAGACCAGCCUGGCCAAGAUGGUGAAACCCCGUCUCUACUAAAAAUACAAAAAUUAGCCAGGUGCAGUGGCGUGCACCUGUAAUCUCAGCUAUUCAGGAGGCUGAGGCAGGAGAAUCUCUGAAACCCAGGAGUCAGAGGUUGCAGCGAGCUGAUAUCAUGCCACCGCACUCUAGCCUGGGCAACAGAGCAAGACUCCGUCUCAAAAAAAAAAAAAAGAAACGCUUUAUGAGAUAACCAGAGAAAUCUGAAUACUAACUGGGUAUUUGCUGAUAGUAAAAGCAUUACUGUUAUUAAAUAGUUUUAGGAGGAGUGAAGGUGGCCAAAAAAAAUUUUUUGGAGUUAUACAUUGAAAUGUUUGUAAAAGAAAUGACUGACGUCUGAAAUUUGCUUCAGAGUAAUCUGGGAUGAGGGAAGGGGAAGAGGGCGUGGAUGGAAUAAGGUUGGCUGAGACUUGACUGCUGAAGCCAGGCUUAUUGUACCACACGCUCCGUUCCUAUGUGUGCUUGAAGCUUUUCACAAUAAAAAGAAAAAAGAGGUAAAGACCAGCCUUUUCCUUCCUUUCUCUCAAUGCUUAGUGUGUCCACCCACUGCUGGCAUCUCUGGGACAAGCCUGGGUAGCAGGCUUGAGAUAGAUCUUCACGCAUCCCACCCCCGUCUCCAUGGCAACCAGUGGGGAGGGAAAGCUGCAUCCACAAAGUUCUGGUCCCCACAGGGGUGAGGCCAGGCCACCAGUGUCAUGCCAGGCCCUGUCUUGCUGCUCCCUUGGGAGAAUUCCCACCAGAACUGCCUCCCUGCACCCAUUC